rnacentral:rRNA from 1 species
GACGAACGCUGGCGGCGUGCCUAAUACAUGCAAGUAGGCCACAGUUGCGAACGUGUGAGUCACGCAUAGGCACCUACCUAUGAGAGGGGGAUAACUAUGGGAAACGAUAGCUAAUACCGCAUACUUGUAGAUUGACCUGCUUUGUAUUAGCUAGUCUGUAGGGUAAUGGCCUACCUAGGCAACGCUACAUAGCCUGCCUGAGAGGGUGAUCGGCCACACUGGAACGGAGACACGGUCCAGACUCCUACGGGAGGCAGCAGUGGGGAAUAUGGGACAAUGGGCGAAAGCCUGAUGCAGCCAUGCCGCGUGUGUGAAGAAGGUCUUCGGGUUGUAAAGCACUUUAAGCUGGGAGGCGUUACCAACAGAAUAAGCACCGGCUAACGUCGUGCCAGCAGCCGCGGUAAUUC